CUGACUGCUAUCGGAUUGAUACUAAGCCAUGCGAGUCUUUGUAGUAAUACAAGGCAGACGGCUCAGUAACACGUAGUCAACCUACCCUAUGGACGAGAAUAAUCUCGGGAAACUGAGCAUAAUUCUCGAUAGAUCAUAAUGCCUGGAAUGGUUUAUGUUCCAAAUGAUUUAUCGCCGUAGGAUGGGACUGCGGCCUAUCAGUUUGUUGGUGAGGUAAUGGCCCACCAAGACUAUUACAGGUACGGGCUCUGAGAGGAGUAGCCCGGAGAUGGGUACUGAGACACGGACCCAGGCCCUAUGGGGCGCAGCAGGCGAGAAAACUUUGCAAUGUGCGAAAGCACGACAAGGUUAAUCCGAGUGGUUUCUGCUAAAGGAACCUUUUGUUAGUCCUAAAAACACUAACGAAUAAGGGGUGGGCAAGUUCUGGUGUCAGCCGCCGCGGUAAAACCAGCACCCCAAGUGGUCAGGAUGAUUAUUGGGCCUAAAGCAUCCGUAGCCUGCUCUGUAAGUUUUCGGUUAAAUCUGUAUGCUCAACAUACAGGCCGCCGGGAAUACUGCAGGGCUAGGGAGUGGGAGAGGUAGACGGUACUCGGGAGGAAGUGGUAAAAUGCUUUGAUCUUUCGAUGACCACCUGUGGCGAAGGCGGUCUACCAGAACACGUCCGACGGUGAGGGAUGAAAGCUGGGGGAGCAAACCGGAUUAGAUACCCGGGUAGUCCCAGCCGUAAACUAUGCAAACUCAGUGAUGCAUUGGCUUGUGGCCAAUGCAGUGUUGCAGGGAAGCCGUUAAGUUUGCCGCCUGGGAAGUACGUACGCAAGUAUGAAACUUAAAGGAUUGGCGGGGGAGCACCACAAGGGUGAAGCCUGCGGUUCAUUGGAGUCACCGCCGGA
rnacentral:rRNA from 1 species